GGUCAAUAGCCUAACGGCUGAACCAGCAACUUGGAGGAAUGUAUAGUGUUAACAAUUAUAUUUUUUUUAAUAUAAUCUCGACUAUGUCGAAUAAAAUUCUGGGUAGUACAAUGAUUAUGACAUUUUCUAUCUAUAAGUCUUGACCAAAACUCGUGCCAGCAGUCGCGGUAAUACGUGGAAGACAAGUGUUAUUCAUCUUUAAUAGGUUUAAAGGGUACCUAGACGGUAUAUCUAGCCAAUAAAGGUACAGAUUUACUAGAGUUUAAUAUGUAAGAAGGUAGAACUUGAGGUGUAAAGAUGAAAUGUGUUAAAACCUUAAGGACUGUUAAAGGCGAAAGCAACCUUAAAACGCUUCAUAUAGUGUUUAACUAUGUAUAAACUGACGUUGAGGGACGAAGGCCUGGGUAACGAUAAGGAUUUGGUACCCUUGUAGUCCAAGCAGAAAAUCAUGAAUGUCAUGAACUAGAAAAAUUUAGUUUAUAAAUGAAAGUGCAAGCAUUCCACCUUAAGAGUAAUGCGGCAAGGCAGGAACUGAAAUCAUUAGACCGUUUCUGAAACCAGUAGUGAAGUAUGUUGUUUAAUUCGAUGAUCCACGAAAAACCUUACCACAAUUUGAAUAUCAUUUACAAGUGCUGCACGGCUGUCUUCAGUUAAUGUCGUAAGAUUUUGGUUGGUUCCAUUAAAUUAACGUAAACCCUUGCUUUAUUUAUUAUUUUGUAAUAAAGUUAUUCUGCCUUCACAGGUAAGCUAAUCGGGAUUAAGACAAGUCAUCAUGGCCUUAAUAUUGUG
rnacentral:rRNA from 1 species